rnacentral:rRNA from 1 species
AACUAACUGUAUGCGGCGGAUCACUCGGCUCGUGUGUCGAUGAAGAGUGCAGCCAACUGUGUGAAUUAGUGUGAAUCGCAGACUGCUUUGAACGUCGACAUCUCGAACGCGCUUUGCGGCCACAGGCUUGCCUGUGGCCACGUCUGUCCGAGCGUCGGCUUAUAAACUAUCGCUACGCGUAACAAGUAGCGGCUUGGAGGA